rnacentral:misc_RNA from 1 species
ACUGUUUUCAUCAUCCUUAACUUUGCGACUAGAUUUAGUAUCAUUCGCCAUCCCCUAAACUCUAUCUGAGAAAGCAACGGUAGGCGGGAAGGGUGUUAGCGUGAAUGCCUAUAUGAGAGAACACGGGGUACGGCUUGAGAGAGUAUCUGAGAGAGCUAGGGUAGCGACAACACGAAGGUAGUGUGUUGCCAUCGCUAUGCACAAGACCAAUUUGACAGAGAGGCUGUGAGAGAACGAGAUGACGAGAGAGAAAGAGAAAGCGCAAUCGAAGGAUAGAGAGACGAGAGAAAGAAAAGGGGGGUCUAGG